rnacentral:rRNA from 1 species
UUAAGUUAAUAAGGGCGCACGGUGGAUGCCUUGGCACUAGGAGCCGACGAAGGACGUGACAAACGACGAUAUGCCUUGGGUAGCUGUAAGUAAGCGAUGAUCCAGGGAUUUCCGAAUGGGGGAACCCAACAGGUAAUACCUGUUACCCACAUCUGUUAAGGAUGUGAGGAGGAAGACGCAGUGAACUGAAACAUCUAAGUAGCUGCAGGAAGAGAAAGCAAAAGCGAUUGCCUUAGUAGCGGCGAGCGAAACGGCAGAAGGGCAAACCGAAGAGUUUACUCUUCGGGGUUGUAGGACUGCAAUGUGGACUCAAAGAUUAUAGAAGAAUGAUUUGGGAAGAUCAGCCAAAGAGAGUAAUAGCCUCGUAUUUAAAAUAGUCUUUGUACCUAGCAGUAUCCUGAGUACGGCGGGACACGUGAAAUCCCGUCGGAAUCUGGGAGGACCAUCUCCCAACCCUAAAUACUCCCUAGUGACCGAUAGUGAACCAGUACCGUGAGGGAAAGGUGAAAAGCACCCCGGGAGGGGAGUGAAAUAGAACCUGAAACCGUGUGCCUACAACAAGUUCGAGCCCGUUAAUGGGUGAGAGCGUGCCUUUUGUAGAAUGAACCGGCGAGUUACGUUAUGAUGCGAGGUUAAGUUGAAGAGACGGAGCCGUAGGGAAACCGAGUCUGAAUAGGGCGCCUUAGUAUCAUGACGUAGACCCGAAACCAUGUGACCUACCCAUGAGCAGGUUGAAGGUGCGGUAAGACGCACUGGAGGACCGAACCAGGGCACGUUGAAAAGUGCUUGGAUGACUUGUGGGUAGCGGAGAAAUUCCAAACGAACUUGGAGAUAGCUGGUUCUCUCCGAAAUAGCUUUAGGGCUAGCGUCGACAUUAGAGAUUCUUGGAGGUAGAGCACUGUUUGGGUGAGGGGUCCAUCCCGGAUUACCAAUCUCAGAUAAACUCCGAAUGCCAAUGAAUUAUGGUCGGCAGUCAGACUGCGAGUGCUAAGAUCCGUAGUCGAAAGGGAAACAGCCCAGACCACCAGCUAAGGUCCCAAAAUAAUUGUUAAGUGGAAAAGGAUGUGGGGUUGCACAGACAACUAGGAUGUUAGCUUAGAAGCAGCUAUUCAUUCAAAGAGUGCGUAAUAGCUCACUAGUCGAGUGACCCUGCGCCGAAAAUGUACCGGGGCUAAAACAAUUUACCGAAGCUGUGGAUACCUUUAUAGGUAUGGUAGGAGAGCGUUCUAUGUGUGAUGAAGGUAUACCGUGAGGAGUGCUGGAACGCAUAGAAGUGAGAAUGCCGGUAUGAGUAGCGAAAGACAGGUGAGAAUCCUGUCCACCGUAAGACUAAGGUUUCCAGGGGAAGGCUCGUCCGCCCUGGGUUAGUCGGGACCUAAGGAGAGACCGAAAGGUGUAUCCGAUGGACAACAGGUUGAUAUUCCUGUACUAGAGUAUGUAGUGAUGGAGGGACGCAGUAGGCUAACUAAAGCAGACGAUUGGAAGAGUCUGUCUAAGCAGUGAGGUGUGAAUUGAGUCAAAUGCUUANNNNNNNNNNNNNNNNNNNNNNNNNNNNNNNNNNNNNNNNNNNNNNNNNNNNNNNNNNNNNNNNNNNNNNNNNNNNNNNNNNNNNNNNNNNNNNNNNNNNNNNNNNNNNNNNNNNNNNNNNNNNNNNNNNNNNNNNAAGUCAGCCGCAGUGAAUAGGCCCAAGCAACUGUUUAUCAAAAACACAGCUCUCUGCUAAAUCGUAAGAUGAUGUAUAGGGGGUGACGCCUGCCCGGUGCUGGAAGGUUAAGAGGAGUGCUUAGCGUAAGCGAAGGUAUGAAUUGAAGCCCCAGUAAACGGCGGCCGUAACUAUAACGGUCCUAAGGUAGCGAAAUUCCUUGUCGGGUAAGUUCCGACCCGCACGAAAGGCGUAAUGAUUUGGGCACUGUCUCAACGAGAGACUCGGUGAAAUUUUAGUACCUGUGAAGAUGCAGGUUACCCGCGACAGGACGGAAAGACCCCAUGGAGCUUUACUGCAGUUUGAUAUUGAGUGUCUGUACCACAUGUACAGGAUAGGUAGGAGUCUAAGAGAUCGGGACGCCAGUUUCGAAGGAGACGCUGUUGGGAUACUACCCUUGUGUUAUGGCCACUCUAACCCAGAUAGGUGAUCCCUAUCGGAGACAGUGUCUGACGGGCAGUUUGACUGGGGCGGUCGCCUCCUAAAAGGUAACGGAGGCGCCCAAAGGUUCCCUCAGAAUGGUUGGAAAUCAUUCGCAGAGUGUAAAGGUAUAAGGGAGCUUGACUGCGAGAGCUACAACUCGAGCAGGGACGAAAGUCGGGCUUAGUGAUCCGGUGGUUCCGUAUGGAAGGGCCAUCGCUCAACGGAUAAAAGCUACCCUGGGGAUAACAGGCUUAUCUCCCCCAAGAGUUCACAUCGACGGGGAGGUUUGGCACCUCGAUGUCGGCUCGUCGCAUCCUGGGGCUGUAGUCGGUCCCAAGGGUUGGGCUGUUCGCCCAUUAAAGCGGCACGCGAGCUGGGUUCAGAACGUCGUGAGACAGUUCGGUCCCUAUCCGUCGCGGGCGUAGGAAAUUUGAGAGGAUCUGCUCCUAGUACGAGAGGACCAGAGUGGACUUACCGCUGGUGUACCAGUUGUCUUGCCAAAGGCAUCGCUGGGUAGCUAUGUAGGGAAGGGAUAAACGCUGAAAGCAUCUAAGUGUGAAACCCACCUCAAGAUGAGAUUUCCCAUGAUUAUAUAUCAGUAAGAGCCCUGAGAGAUGAUCAGGUAGAUAGGUUAGAAGUGGAAGUGUGGCGACACAUGUAGCGGACUAAUACUAAUAGCUCGAGGACUUAUCCAA